CACGUAGGGGGCGAGCGUUGUCCGGAUUUAUUGGGCGUAAAGAGCUCGUAGGCGGUUUCGUAAGUCGGAUGUGAAAACUCCAGGCUCAACUUGGAGACGCCAUUCGAUACUGCGAUGACUUGAGUCCGGUAGGGGAGUGUGGAAUUCCUGGUGUAGCGGUGAAAUGCGCAGAUAUCAGGAGGAACACCGGCGCGAAGGCGGCACUCUGGGCGGUACUGACGUGAGGAGCGAAAGCGUGGGUAGCAAACAGG
rnacentral:rRNA from 1 species